rnacentral:lncRNA from 13 species
CUGACAGAACUGAGAGAAUCUCAGGAGUCACAAUAUUGGAUUUUGUCAUCAAUACAUGUCUUAAAUGGAGACUGUCAACAACACGUUGCCUUAAUGUAAAUGAACAAGAUGGCGGAAGAGAAACAAAUAAGAUCUUAAUUUAUAUUUUCCCCUUUCUCAGGAGCCAAAGUGCAACAGGCCACAGACAACCGUCUCUUCUAUUGGGGGAUGAUAUCAGGCGUUGCAGCAUGUGUAGCUGUCCUGGUGUUUGGUGGCGUAAUCAUGAGGAAAAUUCAUCUCAGGAGAACACAGCUACAAGUGUCUGGAACCGUCAACGAGGUGCCACAACACUGCUUGCUGUUGCCUGUUAGUCAGAUGAAGGCAGCCGAGUCUUCAUUUAUAACCGUUGCGUACAUUUCACAAUAAAUAUCUGCGCGCAGCAUUUCUGAAAAGACCGCACACAGACUGCGCACUUACAAAAAUAUUGAGAUUCAUCAGCUUGGGCGGGUGCCAUGCAUGUUUCCUGUUAUAAAUCAGACCCAUCCUGAAUUUGUUCGCUUGUGAAUGAGCGUUCAAAUCAGCCUGAAAAGCCUUUUAUGGUAACAGUAACGCCCCUUUUCGCUGUGUACUGAAAUUAAACCAUUGCCGUUUCUAAAUAGCAGUUCGCGAGCUUGAUAANNNNNNNNNNAUGUCUCUGGAGGUGUUGGCAGAAUGUUUUAAACUUUUACAGUGACAUUUGCUGAAAAAAACUAUUGCAAAUUGUUGUGGACCUAUAAACAUAUUGUAACUUUUUAAUAUGCUCCAAUGGCCGUGAAUUCUGAAACGUUGUCUACUCGGAAAGAAAUGACAACUACAGUACUUACAGUGGUAGCCUAUUCACUUCAAUACAAAAUAUCAACUGUCUGUUCUUCUGUUAAAGUCAUCUGUUAUAAACCACACUCCCUUUCGCAUGUUAUUAUAGCUUAAUCCGUUUAGUACUGUGAAGUGGGUCUAAUUAUAUUUACGAUUCAGUCAUUUAGCAGAGGCUCUAAUCCAGAGCGAUUUGUGAGAAUCGAACCCACAACCCUGGUGUUACGUCCGUCGUCAGAUGAAUGAGACCAAAGCCCAGCGUGGAAAGUGUUCUUGAUUUUUAAUAUUGAACUCCAACAAAAACGACCGUAAAGUUCUGUAGGCUACACAACACCUAUACAAAAUCAAGAUCCCACAACUCAAGGUGGGAAAACGGGCUGAUCCACAAUCAGAUCAAUACGAUCCACAAUCAGAGACAAUGAUAAACAGCUGCCUCUGAUUGGGAACCAUACUAGGCCAACAAAGAAAUAGAAACAUAGAUUUGCCCACCCAAGUCACACCCUGACCUAACCAAAUAGAGAAUAAAAGGGAUCUCUAAGGUCAGGGCGUGACACCUGGCCAUGCUCUACCAACUGAGAUACAUGUGACUUAAAUAACAGAUGCGAUGAAUGGCAGCCUAUCCUAACUUGUUGUAAGCCUAUAGGCUAAUGAAACCAUCACAGUUUGAAAAGGUGAGGAAAUUAUUCUGCAAUGAUCAUGGAAAUUAAAUAAAUAAUACAAAUAUACCUAUUUCUAACUAGAAAAUGGCAUUUACUGAAGUAAAUGUGGUGUGUUUGCU